rnacentral:misc_RNA from 1 species
UAGAGUUUUUAACUCCCAAACCCAUGUGAACUUACCUUUGUUGCCUCGGCGGAGCCUACCCGGUACCUACCCUGUAGCGCCCCGCCGGUGGAUUUAUAAACUAUUGUUAUUUUAAUGAUAUCUGAGAGUCUUAUUUUAAUAAGUCA